AGCAAGCACAUAAUUUUCCCCGGAAAGCUGUACUUGACGGGAUAUUACUUAAAAUAAUGGUUUAAUUAAAUGAAACAACUAAAAUUCAUAACGUUUGGAAAAUCAUGGAUUUAUAUAUAUAUUGUCUACUGUUUUCUUUUGUAAAAGGUGAAGAGGUUACAGUAGAUAAAAAGUCCGAUGGAGAUAUAACACUUACAAGUUCGAAUCCACAUAACUUUCCAUCCUGCCAAUGGCAACGUGAGUCAUCACAAGGUCAAUUUGAAGAUCUUACCAAAAGCGAGGAGGACAAGUAUAAAAACAGAGGAACAACAAUAAUGACAAUUAAAUCGUUUAACUUUGCUGAUCGUGGAUCAUACCGUUGUAAAUGUUAUGAUAGGAUUAAUGAUUGUAAAUACAGCUCUAGUAUUACAAUUGAUAUAGCAGACAUAAGUACAGAACAGCGAUUAAACUGUAGAUAUACUGGAACUCAUUACAAAUGGAAGCGAAAAGGUAAAAGAAUCAACGAUAACAGAAAAUACUCUAACACUUCGUCAAAAGUUCUUACGCUAUUUAAUGUUGAUUGGAAUGCAGAAGGUAUAUACAGAUGUGAAUAUUAUCAUUAUAGAUGGCAACCUGUGGAUUUUUAU